CCACCCACUGUUCUUCAUCUCUCCGUGUACACCCCCAAACCCGGGGGGCGAUGGUUUUCGGGGUUCCAUGUGAACAGCAGUUGGACAUGGGUCAGUCGAUCCUAAGAAAACGGCGAAAGCUUGUUCGUAUUUGCGACAUGAAUUGUAAGACUGAAUAAUUAUUUGUGUGUGUGCAGUGGCGGACGCAUAUAUCCCCGCCCGCCCCAGCA
rnacentral:rRNA from 1 species